rnacentral:rRNA from 1 species
UGGGGAAUAUUGCACAAUGGGCGCAAGCCUGAUGCAGUCAUGCCGCGUGUAUGAAGAAGGCCUUCGGGUUGUAAAGUACUUUCAGCGAGGAGGAAGGCGUUGUGGUUAAUAACCGCAACGAUUGACGUUACUCGCAGAAGAAGCACCGGCUAACUCCGUGCCAGCAGCCGCGGUAAUACGGAGGGUGCAAGCGUUAAUCGGAAUUACUGGGCGUAAAGCGCACGCAGGCGGUCUGUCAAGUCGGAUGUGAAAUCCCCGGGCUCAACCUGGGAACUGCAUCCGAAACUGGCAGGCUAGAGUCUUGUAGAGGGGGGUAGAAUUCCAGGUGUAGCGGUGAAAUGCGUAGAGAUCUGGAGGAAUACCGGUGGCGAAGGCGGCCCCCUGGACAAAGACUGACGCUCAGGUGCGAAAGCGUGGGGAGCAAACA